CCCGAAAACUAUUGAGGUAGUGCCUCGUGUAUAACUCCAGGGGGUAGAGCACUGUUAUGGCUAGGGGGACAUGGCGUCUUACCAAACCAUGGCAAACUCCGAAUACUUGGAAGUUGAGCACGGGAGACAGAGCACCGGGUGCUAACGUCCGGACUCAAAAGGGAAACAACCCAGACCGCCGGCUAAGGUCCCUAAUAUUGACUAAGUGGAAAACGAAGUGGGAAGGCUAAGACAGUCAGGAAGUUGGCUUAGAAGCAGCCAUCCUUCAAAGAAAGCGUAAUAGCUCACUGAUCGAGUCUUCCUGCGCGGAAGAUGUAACGGGGCUAAGUCAAUAACCGAAGCCGCGGAUUCACACGUUAAGUGUGAGUGGUAGGGGAGCGUUCUGUAAGCCUGCGAAGGUGACUUGUAAAGGUUGCUGGAGGUAUCAGAAGUGCGAAUGCUGACAUGAGUAACGUUAAAGCGGGUGAAAAGCCCGCUCGCCGUAAGCCCAAGGUUUCCUGCUCUACGUUCAUCGGAGCAGGGUGAGUCGGCCCCUAAGGUGAGGCUGAUAAGCGUAACUGAUGGGAACAAGGUUAAUAUUCCUUGACCACCGUUGAGUGCGAAGGGGGGACGGAGUAUUGAAGAUCAUCCAGGUGUUGGAUAUCCUGGUUUGUUCGCGUAGGAGGUUGAUAGGCAAAUCCGUCAACGUAUCUCCGAGGCAAAGCAUCGAGAUCCGUAUGGAUCGAAGUGAUUGGAUGUGCUCCCAGGAAAAGCCUCUAAGCUCCAGCUCAACGGGACCGUACCGCAAACCGACACUGGUGGGCGAGCUGAAUAUGCUCAGGCGCUUGAGAGAACUCAGGAGAAGGAACUCGGCAAAUUGACACCGUAACUUCGGGAUAAGGUGUGCCUUUGUAGUGUGAAGGAAGAAACAUCCGGAGCAUGAAGAGGUCUCAGAGAAUUGGUGGCUGCGACUGUUUACUAAAAACACAGCACUCUGCAAAGACGAAAGUCGACGUAUAGGGUGUGAUGCCUGCCCGGUGCUGGAAGAUUAAUUGAUGGGGUGCAAGCUCCUGAUCGAAGUCCCAGUAAACGGCGGCCGUAACUAUAACGGUCCUAAGGUAGCGAAAUUCCUUGUCGGGUAAGUUCCGACCUGCACGAAUGGCAUAACGAUGGCCACACUGUCUCCUCCCGAGACUCAGUGAAGUUGAAAUGUUUGUGAUGAUGCAAUCUACCCGCGGCUAGACGGAAAGACCCCAUGAACCUUUACUGCAGCUUUGCAUUGAACUGUGAACCGAUUUGUGUAGGAUAGGUGGGAGGCAGAGAAGAGUCCACGCCAGUGGUCUUGGAGCCGACCUUGAAAUACCACCCUGAUUUGUUUGCGGUUCUAACCACGGACAGUGAUCCUGUCUUGGGACCGUGCAUGGUAGGCAGUUUGACUGGGGCGGUCUCCUCCUAAAGGGUAACGGAGGAGUGCGAAGGUACGCUAGGUACGGUCGGAAAUCGUGCUGAUAGUGCAAAGGCAAAAGCGUGCUUGACUGCGAGACUCACAAGUCGAGCAGAUACGAAAGUAGGUCUUAGUGAUCCGGUGGCUCUGUAUGGAAGGGCCAUCGCUCAACGGAUAAAAGGUACUCUGGGGAUAACAGGCUGAUACCGCCCAAGAGUUCAUAUCGACGGCGGUGUUUGGCACCUCGAUGUCGGCUCAUCUCAUCCUGGGGCUGUAGCCGGUCCCAAGGGUAUGGCUGUUCGCCAUUUAAAGAGGUACGUGAGCUGGGUUUAAAACGUCGUGAGACAGUUUUGUCCCUAUCUGCCGUGGGCGUUGGAAGAUUGACGGGG
rnacentral:rRNA from 1 species